AUAAUGGUUCCAGAGAUGUCCCAAGGAGGCGAGAUGACAACUCAGCUUCCCGAAAGAGAAUAGAGGACCGCCGUGCAAAAUCACCCAGACAGUCAAAAGAAUAUGAGAACGAUAAGAGGGGAUCAUAUACUCGUGAUGAUAGUAAGGACCACAGUGAUGCUGCUAAUGGUUCCAGAGGAAGGCGAGAUGACUAUGUAUCUUCCAGAAAGAGAAAGGAAGAAUGCCGGGGAAAGUCACCGAGACGGUCAAAAGAUCAUGAAGAGAAUAAGAAGAGGGGAUCAUAUGCUCCUGAUGAUAGACAUGACCGCCAUGAUCUUGAUAGAGAUCGCAAUGAGAAGCUGUCAACACAUGACAGUAAGGGUUCCCGCUCCAGUCCCCGCAGGAGGUCACCACGCCCAUCUUCUGGAUCACGUUCGGACAGGACUCGUGGUCGCCGCAGCGACUGAUGGAACCAUGGAAGUGUAGGUAUCUGCGCAUUCACUCCGUGUGUGUGCAACGCUGAGUGUUGCUGUACCUAUCGCCCCUCGCCAUUUCGAGGUUGAGACAGGUUGGUAAGAAGCAAAACCCUCUUUGCAGAGCAGAGAACGGAACAUAGAUGAGGUAGGCAGUGAGAAGAACCGAACCCCUAUGGCUGCAAUGUUGCUAGCAUGUGGUUGGUCGUAGCACCAAGCCAGAAUUGCACAUAUUAGUUGUACCCCACUACAUUCUCAUAUGCAUGUGGGAUCCGUAAUGCUGUAGAAGUCUGUUGUGGCCACCAGGCCACCAAAAUGUUUGGGAGGAACAUGAACCAGAGUUUAAUUGGAUGGGGGCAUACAGAAGUUCAA